CCCAAAUAAUGAUCAUCAUUGCAAUAGUCUUGAACUUCACGUUCUUCGCGGCAAAUAGUAGGUCGACGCCCAUCACCAGAGUCAGAUCUGAGAAACCCAGAUUCCCGUACAUGAACAUGCACCAGCUUCCUCAGAAAGGGACGUGUCUGCUUAAUUUUUGAGAAUGUUUCUGUGGAAUUGCCUCCUAUUCUCCCAGAGCAUCAGUUUGCAACAGGCGUCACUCAGACAGGAUGGAGUGCCAUGCAACAGCUUGCAAGCAUAUCUCAAUGCUACACCUGAGCCACAGCAAUGCCUGAGGGGGAUUAAUCUAAUCAGUUACUGGCAGUGGAAUUCAAAUUCUGCUGAGAAAGGCAGAAGGCAUGGAACACAGUUCAUUCCUAACAGUGGAUACAAGCUAUGAUCCAAAAGCAAACUAAAUCCAAUGAUAGUAAGGCAGCCUUACUUGUGUCCAAGCAUGCACUCCAGUUGCAGCCAUAUUCCAGGUUUCCCACAGGUUCCUCCUGCCUCUGGCUCCAUGAAAAACCACAGCACCAGUACCACAGAAAUCUCAUGGUUCCAGCCAAUAUUAAAUGACAAAGAAUGACCCUUGGACUCACUGAAGUAACAGCUUCACCAGCCUCAUCACCCGGAAGAGACGGAAAAAAGUGAUGGAAAUUCUAGCGCUGUCUUCAGAGUUCUGAAGAGCAUCAUGGAGAAGUCAAACCAAAUACAGAUUCAAACAUGCAACACUUCCAGAAAAACAACAACAAAUGCAAAGGUGGAAGAGAUAUUAUACUCAUCUGCACCAGUACCACAAUUAAUGGAACUUAAUUCUCAGAAUUAUCAACAGAGAAGUCUAAGAUCUUCAGCAGGUGGAAUGUGCUAACCUCACCUACUGAGUCUGUGUGCUCCCUGAGGAUUUUCCAAGUCUCACCUUCUUCAGUUUCCCUGUCUGAGAUCUCAAGAAGUAUUAGAGUUCAAGUAACAGCUGGCUAUCAAGAAGCUGCACAUAAGCUUCAAAAGAGCUUCUGGUUCUCCUACCUGCAUAGCCAAGCAAAGCGUGUUCAGCAUGAUGAGGACAAACAUGAUGUAUUCAAACCCAGUGGAAUUCACCACAUACCAGAACUUGUACUGGUAAGGAUUUUUUGGAAUAUAUCUACGAAGAGGACGUGCCUUCAGGGCAUAUUCCACACACUGACGCUGUAAAAGUAAAUGCAUCAAAAAUUGUCAGAGUAUACCUAGCAGUUAAUCAAACAAUAAUAUAGUUAAUAAGUGCAAUAGCAUAUAAUUAAUAUGUGUUAAAUGUAAGUAUUAAAGCAGUCUACUUGCUGUAAGGUUAUUUAUAUGGUAUUAAUAAUCAAGCAGCAUACUAAUCCUCACUUGGUUAUUUACAACUGCAUCUCACUGUAUACACUACUGAGCCACAUACAAAGAAUCAAAUAAUGCUCAUGGAAAUUCUGAAGUGUUUCACUUAUAUAGCACUACACUGUAGACUAUAUGUAUUUAUACUUGCAGCACAUAGCAUAACUAUUAUAACAUGACUAUUUAUUAAUCUAUAAGUCAUGCUUUGUCUUUACUAAGUUUUCAACAACCGAUGUAAUUGGCAAAGCAUAAAAUCCUACAGUCAGCAAAAUAAAUACUGAGGAAGUGUUAUUCCUGGAUUCAUCUCCUACUCUAGUAGUGCUUGAAAUGUCCAGGCAGGCUGGGCCUUCCACUUGGCUUUUGAAGAACAGAAAUAAAAGCUGGCUGAGGGGCACAAAAGGCAGAAUUAAUUUUGGCUAAAGGUUCAUGCUUAGUUUUGUUUAAAUUAAGUGUGUUACAGCUGAACAAAACUACCUGGUGACUACUGAGUUUCUCAGUCAAAGGAUUAAGCACUAAAAGGGAACAGAUAUCUUUUUAAAAUUUGAAUCUGAACAUCCCUUGAGAAUUUCUAAAUCAAUAAGAAAAAAAGAGCAUAGAACAUUUUGAACACUUUCAUAUUUAAAACUUUCAGACUAUUCAGAACACAAUUUCUUUUCCUGUUCUUAUUGUAAAAUGUGCCUCUGCCCAUGGAUAAGCUGUCAAGUGCUGUGUUCUUCUUAAUGUGACACCAACAAGUGAGACACUAAGAAGCUGACAUGCUUAAUCUAACACCUUUCACAACAAAAAGACUGAUACCUUGGAAUUUCAGAAAGAGAAACAUACAGUGACCUGAAUACCAGUUAAUGCUAUUUAUUAUUUCCUUUUUUUUUUUUUUACUAGAAUAUGUAUUUGGUGCCCUCUUCUGACCCAAAGCAGGAAGAGAGCUCUUAAUGUAUAAACAAUAAAAGAUCCUUUAAAAGUUAA